AUUGAACGCUGGCGGCAGGCCUAACACAUGCAAGUCGAGCGGAUGAAGGGAGCUUGCUCCUGGAUUCAGCGGCGGACGGGUGAGUAAUGCCUAGGAAUCUGCCUGGUAGUGGGGGAUAACGUCCGGAAACGGGCGCUAAACCGCAUACGUCCUGAGGGAGAAAGUGGGGGAUCUUCGGACCUCACGCUAUCAGAUGAGCCUAGGUCGGAUUAGCUAGUUGGUGGGGUAAAGGCCUACCAAGGCGACGAUCCGUAACUGGUCUGAGAGGAUGAUCAGUCACACUGGAACUGAGACACGGUCCAGACUCCUACGGGAGGCAGCAGUGGGGAAUAUUGGACAAUGGGCGAAAGCCUGAUCCAGCCAUGCCGCGUGUGUGAAGAAGGUCUUCGGAUUGUAAAGCACUUUAAGUUGGGAGGAAGGGCAGUAAGUUAAUACCUUGCUGUUUUGACGUUACCAACAGAAUAAGCACCGGCUAACUUCGUG
rnacentral:rRNA from 1 species